CGCCCUGCCUGCUCGGACCUCGGAGUCGCCGGCGGCGCCGAAACGCAGCAGGGGCGCGAGGGGUAAGGCGGGGCAGACCCUGCUUAGCCUCAAAAUUACGGCCUUAGAACGCGGGCGCGCUGCGCGUUAAGGAUCCGCAGGCAGACCCGGACCUGGGACCCACUGCCCGCGUCGCGGGGACUAGGGCUUUCCAGGGACUGGUGGGGGCAGUGAGAGGCCCGGCGCCGCGUCCUCCUCGGCCCUUGGCCCUUAGCGACUCAGGGCGAGGCAGCGAGUGGCUGAAAAGCAGGCAUUAGGACCGCAGAGGAGACGCCAGCGGCCGUGGAGAAACAGGACUCACUUCUUAACGGAGACUUCCGGAUCGGAGCCCGGCGGCGCCAGGACGGAGAGGCGUGGGUCCCCGCGGGAAGGGCAGGGAGUCCAGGCCCACAGGGAGCGACAGCACUGACCAGGCAGUCACCACCCCAGGGACAGUUUGUAUCCUGUGAGGAUCAACAGCUGAGGAUGAUGAUGUUGGAGCACAAGAUGGACGCAGCGUUGGAGGAACUGGCCCAGAGAGGAGGAGAGCAGAGAGAAGGCCAACGGCAGAGUUUGGCUGCCACUACUGCUAAUGGGCGAUCAGACAAUUCCCGGCUCCUGCACUGAUUACCUCGGGCUUACUUAUCACCGUCGUCUUGAGCUUCUGCUGCCAGCCACAUGCAGGAGGAAGAGGAGGAGGCAGUGGACAUGACCUUCACCUCACCGAGCUUAGCCUAGGUGGGAAGAUCAGUGAGAGUACAGAAUCAGGAACCAGACUCCAGCUCUGACGCAACUAUCGCUUCCGCUGUCCGUAAAAAGAAAUCAGACAAGAAACAGAAGAGGAGAACUAUUUUUGGGUAGAUGUAGAGGAGUCGUCAAGGGCAUUUUGGGAUGGCAUCUUGGCAGAGAGGUUUACGUCUUCACUUGUGACACCAGCAUCCCAUAUGUGCACCUGUUGGCGUCCAGCUGCUAGCUCCUGGCUUUGUGUCUGGGAAAGGAACUGGGGGUUCAGCCACUGUUCUGGUCCCCCUAAUAAAGACUCUCUGGCUGUCCCAGACCUAGCUGCACCAGCCUGCCUGCUACCCCCACCACGGCUGCUGUCAGCAGGUCAGUGCCACUGCUUGGGAGGGGCCCAAAAGGCAGUUUUGUUUGAACCACUGUGGGAUAAGGAUGUGGUCAGACUGCCUCUCCCUUGGCCUUUUCACAGGAGGAACAUCUCUGCGGAUUAGCACAGUGGUUUGCUGGUUCAGGACACUUAACAAAUGCAGAUAGGGCCUCUCCUGUGAUUUCUAUCUUCACAGCCUCAAGGUCAUGCAGCGCACUUUCUCAGCCAAAACAGACCCCGCCCCCCACCAGACACAAAAUCAUGGUGGAUGGUCACCAGCCAGAGACAGGUGUAGUGAGGAAGGUUGCUAUUCCAGUCCACUCCCAGAGGAGGGCCAGUACCUGCCCCACCUUCCCGUCCCAGGGACACGGCCUAGGACAGCCCUGGUUCCUCUGGUGGAAGACUCCACCCCACACAGCACUGCGCAGGAGGCAAUGUCAAGCUCCAGUCUCCUUUUGAGAAGCACACUGCUACCAGGUCCUUGGAGAAUGGGAGGUCACUCCCCCCUCUCGUGGAACUACCACCGUUUAUCAGUUACAGUGACAGCCUGGUAACCACACUGUACUUGGUUGAACCACUCUCUUAAUGAUACCAGAGUCCCUGAUGGGCAGGGCUCUACAGCUAGAGCCUGUUUCUGCGUCUACACUCUGUCCUUACAGGGUUCAGACCAGCACUGACCACACAGGACAGCUGUGCCCCCGGGAGGCAGAUUGAUGCAGUGGAGUCUAGAACAAACUCUAUUUCUGACCUUAAACUAGGUACUCUUCCUGCAUGAAGGAGGCAAGGUUACAUCUGACAGAGACGACACUCAAACUGACCGUGCCUUCACACGUGUCCCUCUGCCUCUUUAAGGCCACAGAGCACACCCUCAGAGGCAACGGGGAUGGCUCAAGUGACUUGGCCCCAUCAGCCAUGUGGGAGACCAGGAUUGAUUUCUGCUCCUGGCUUUUCAGCCUGACCCAGAUCUGGCUACUGUGGACAUUUGCAGAGUGAAUCGGAGGUUGGGAGCUCUGUUUUUCCCUCUCUUUCAAAUAAAUGAAUGAACUGUAAAAUUAAAAAAAAAAAAAAAAGCCACUGCUGGACAAAGGAUCUGUGUUGUGUGCCAGGGCCCCCUUGUGUCAGAGCUCCAUGGUGCCAAGUCCUGGGACAUCUGAAAGGAGAGGGAAAGGGACUGGCGCUGUGGCACAGAGGGUAAAGCUGCUGCCUGUAGAGCUGGCAACCCUUAUGACUGCCAAUUCCAGUCCUGUUUACUCCACUUCCGAUGCAGCUCCCUGCUAACGCAGCUGAACAUGGUCCAAGUGCCCAGCCCUGGGUUCAGUGGACAUAUGGGCAGUGAAGCAGUGGAUGGAAGAUACUUACUUGUCUCUUUCCCCUUCUCUCUUCACUCUCUGUAGCUCUGCCUUUCAAGUAAAGAAAUAAAAAAAAACCACACACACACAGAAAAAGAAGUGGGUAAGACUCCCUCACUUCCCAACACCAAUUGGAGAUCCCACACUGUUUCCUGCAGGAAAUUCAUUCGAUAACACCAAUUAGGGUAUUUGGUUAGGAGGUUUCCUAAGAGAGAGCUUAAAAAAAGUCACCUUGUUGACACUGAUGUGCUAAUCCACCUGGCCCCCAGCCUGCUCCUGGACUUGAGGUCUGAGGCUCUGAAAGUGAUUCAAUUCCUCUUUGCAUUUUCGUUUACUUUGUCUGUCUGUUGGCUCUUUCCGUGUCUGAGGACAUCAAUGAGAAAGCUUCUGUGGAUCAACUUGGAGUUCUGAGGGCCUCAGCCUGUCCAAGCUCCACAUAGCACAGUGGCUGGCCAGGUUUCCCUGGCAAUGAGGAAGGCACACAGUGUUGAUGGAUUCCUGGACUUCCUGGGUUGGGACUGCCUCCCUGAUUGCCCUCUGUCCUGCAGGUUGGCCUGGUGGAGUCGGUAGAAAGGAGGCCCCAUACCCCGGAGCCUUCCCCACCUGAUGGAAGCUGUGAGCUGGGUGUCCUGCAGGAAGCAGAGAGGGGCCCGAGCCCUGAGCCCUCCCCAUGUGACAGGCACCUGUGAGCUGCUUUGCCUGUCUUACUGCUUCUAGGCCUCACAAAGGCCCUGUAUGGGAGGUGUCACUAUUAGUUUUCUUCCUUUUCAAAUUAGGAAAGAGAGGCUCAGAAAAGGUAAGCAUUGCUUAGAUAUCCAGAAAACGAUGGAGCUAGCAUGCAAAGAAAAGGGGAAAAAUAUGUGAGAGCAUGACACCAACUUUCCCACAGGAAGCUCUAUUGUCCCAGUACUGCUUUGCUUUGUCAGAGGAGAUUAGUUUAGCUGUUACUAUGUUCCUCGAGCAGGAACUUGAAGCAAUGAAGGAAUAAGAUUUGGGGAGAAGAAGCAGUUAAAAUAUUGUAGAGGAAAAGGCGGCCCUGCUCCUGGGGCAUGAGCAGCUUAAUUGAGGGCGCCCACAGGUCAAUGUAGGACAUGCUGUCCCAGUGAGACGCUGAGGGUGCUGAGCAGACCUGUUUGGGUGGCACUGGGGCUUUCUAGCAUUUACUCGCAGGGUGUGUAUCUUAGGAAACUGGAGUUUUAGAGACAGAAGGAAGGGUGAGGUCACCCCAGGCACAGAAGGUGUGGGAAGUCUUGCAGAUGCCAGAUGCAAUACCACUCACUGUGGAGAGAGGAACUGGAGAAGGAGGUGCCCAGGGGCGCUGACAGCAGGAACACAGGGCAGAGGUGAGCGCCAAUGUCUGGCUGGGAUCCAUGUCCCAGUGUGCGGCACGGGAAAAAUUAUGCCUCAGGUUCUGUAACCGUGGACUGGAAAGGGCCAGUACCUGGCGGUCAGAGGCUCGGGGAAACCCUCCCCAAGGCCUUUCUCUGUGCCUUUCCCAGGCCUGUGGCCCAGCACAGAGGCAAGA